AACGAGCAGCAGAGCCGCCCAGCAGCAACCACAUUAGGAAGGAAUCGGAAACCAACGCUCCGCUGGCUGUCACCCCUUACCCACUUGCUGUCAGACCACAGCCUGAGGCAGCCAAACCCAUUUCCUUGGGGAUCCAGCGCAAACCAGAGAGUGUGGACAGGCCGAUGGAAGAAUGUUGGACCAGCUUUAAGAAUGGGCUGUUCUAAGUCAUGAAUAUUGUAGGAAGCAGCUCUAAGGACCACAGGGCUGGAGGGUGCACAGGAAGGGGCCAGUGCAUACAGGUGUCCAAACAGUGUCAUCCGGUGUCCUGACAUGCGGCCCCAAUGGACUGAUCCAGGGUGGAAAGGAAGAGUGAGAAGAAAUCAGACAGAAGAAUUCAGGAGAUGUGGCAACAGAGUGGAUGUAGCAGAAGGGACAUAGAGAGUGCCUAAAGAUGAGUCUUUGGUCAGCAUGUGAUGAAAAGAAUGAAGACACUGGGGAAGUGGGGAGCAGAAGCGGAUGUGGGCCCAGGAGGAAGAAGAAUUUGGGACCUGGGAGUUUGGGAGAAAAGCAAAGAAGGCCUGGGGUUGAGUGAGACACAGGGUCCCAGCCAGCAGCUAGAACACGAGGAGAAAAGAAGAAAGGACUCACUGAAAGGGAAUUGCUGAAGAGGACCUUUAUAUCUGAGGGCUUUACUUUGUGCUUUGUAAUUUCCCUUUGUCAUCCUCAUCUUUUAGGAAACUGAUUAACCACUAUAAUUUACGUCGUAUUAGCAACGCCUUAGAGAAUGAAGGAGGAACUGUACUUAUUCUUGGAGCGUAGCCUGGAGAGAGGCAGAAGCCUUCAGGAGCUGUUACUAGGUAGUAGGAAAUCACUCUCUCUAGAGUCCUCUGAAACAGUCUGGAAGAGAAUGGAUUUCCUGCUGUUGUGCAGGAUGAGGGUUUGAGUACAGUAAUUUAAUUUACUUAUUUAAAAAAUACUGGAAGAUGGGGAGGGAGGAUGGGUCAGAUUAUAAUAUGUUCAUAUGUCUAAGGCAGGAAAUUAGAUACAAGAUGAAAUCUAAGAAAGUUCUGUGAUUGGGUUUCUCCCACAGAAGGAGGAGAAAAUCCCUGCAUCUCUGGUUAUGCAAAUAAUAUGCAAAUUACAGUGAUUACAUACUUGCUUAGAAAAUUUUGAUUACCUCAUUUUGACUUCAGGCAGAGUUGGGACACCAAAAGGGAAUGUUUGUCAACAGUCCAGAGUUGUUAGAUU
rnacentral:lncRNA from 1 species